rnacentral:lncRNA from 1 species
AAAUACUGCUGAGAGGAGGUGGAUUUUGCAGGACUCCUGGUGUACAACAGGUGAGGAUGCAUGCCUAGGUAGUGAUGCAAGUGUGAGGAGCAGCCCCAUUUCUUGGCAGUGGACAUUCAGCAGGUGAAGAGCCAACUUCUGUUAAUAAGAGAUUUUGGCUGAGCUUCAGGCAUCGAAAGUUAAAAAUCUGCAGAAGGGCAUGGAUUAAAUACAGAAGUGUGGAGAAUGGAGGAAAGGCUGAAUGCGAAGAGGCUGCUUCUUCUGUCCCUAACCUCAAAAAGGCGAGAGGUGUCUUACAAAAGCAGUGUUUUGUCCUCUUCUGUAUUUCGUGCCUCCCAUGUCCAUGCCAGGAUACCUGCUUUUAUAUGGUGGACAAUGGGAGUGCAGCUGGCACUGAGCUGAAGCCUGAGCUGUUCUGCACCUCAUGUGGAUUCGAGUUCAAAUAAACAGUUUGACUCGCUCAAGGAGUGAAUCAGAAGAAGGAACUUGAGCCUCUAGCCUACAAGCACCGUG